UACGGAAGGCAGCAGGGGGAAUAUUGCACAAUGGGCGCAAGCCUGAUGCAGCCAUGCCGCGUGUAUGAAGAAGGCCUUCGGGUUGUAAAGUACUUUCAGUCGUGAGGAAGGUGUUAAGGUUAAUAACCUUAGCAAUUGACGUUAGCGACAGAAGAAGCACCGGCUAACUCCGUGCCAGCAGCCGCGGUAAUACGGAGGGUGCGAGCGUUAAUCGGAAUUACUGGGCGUAAAGGGCACGCAGGCGGUUAAUUAAGUUGGAUGUGAAAUCCCCGGGCUUAACCUGGGAAUGGCAUUCAAGACUGGUUAGCUAGAGUCUUGUAGAGGGGGUAGAAUUCCAUGUGUAGCGGUGAAAUGCGUAGAGAUGUGGAGGAAUACCGGUGGCGAAGGCGGCCCCUGGACAAAGACUGACGCUCAUGUGCGAAAGCGUGGGGAGCAAACGAGGAUUAGAU
rnacentral:rRNA from 1 species